rnacentral:rRNA from 1 species
AUUGAACGCUGGCGGCAGGCCUAACACAUGUAAGUCGAGCGCGAAAGCACUUCGGUGUGAGUAGAGCGGCGGACGGGUGAGUAACGCGUAAGAAUCUACCUAGUAGUGGGGGACAACUCGGGGAAACUCGAGCUAAUACCGCAUACGCCCUACGGGGGAAAGCGGGGGACCUUCGGGCCUCGCGCUAUUAGAUGAGCUUGCGUUGGAUUAGCUUGUUGGUGAGGUAAUGGCUCACCAAGGCUACGAUCCAUAGCUGGUCUGAGAGGAUGAUCAGCCACACCGGGACUGAGACACGGCCCGGACUCCUACGGGAGGCAGCAGUGGGGAAUAUUGCGCAAUGGGCGAAAGCCUGACGCAGCCAUGCCGCGUGUGUGAAGAAGGCCUUAGGGUUGUAAAGCACUUUCAAUUGGGAGGAAAAGCUAACGACUAAUACUCGUUAGCCUUGACGUUACCUUUAGAAGAAGCACCGGCUAACUCCGUGCCAGCAGCCGCGGUAAUACGGAGGGUGCAAGCGUUAAUCGGAAUUACUGGGCGUAAAGCGCGCGUAGGCGGCUUUUUAAGUCGGAUGUGAAAGCCCCGGGCUCAACCUGGGAACUGCAUCCGAUACUGGAAGGCUAGAGUGCGAGAGAGGGAGGUAGAAUUCCAUGUGUAGCGGUGAAAUGCGUAGAUAUAUGGAGGAAUACCAGUGGCGAAGGCGGCCUCCUGGCUCGACACUGA